AGAGUUUGAUCAUGGCUCAGAUUGAACGCUGGCGGCAGGCCUAACACAUGCAAGUCGAGCGGCAGCGGGAAAGUAGCUUGCUACUUUUGCCGGCGAGCGGCGGACGGGUGAGUAAUGCCUGGGGAUCUGCCCAGUCGAGGGGGAUAACAGUUGGAAACGACUGCUAAUACCGCAUACGCCCUACGGGGGAAAGGAGGGGACCUUCGGGCCUUUCGCGAUUGGAUGAACCCNGGUGGAAUUANCUAGUUGGUGGGGUAAUGGCUCACCAAGGCGACGAUCCCUAGCUGGUCUGAGAGGAUGAUCANCCACNCUGGAACUGAGACACGGUCCAGACUCCUACGGGAGGCAGCAGUGGGGAAUAUUGCACAAUGGGGGAAACCCUGAUGCAGCCAUGCCGCGUGUGUGAAGAAGGCCUUCGGGUUGUAAAGCACUUUCAGCGAGGAGGAAAGGUUGGCGCCUAAUACGUGUCAACUGUGACGUUACUCGCANAAGAAGCACCGGCUAACUCCGUGCCAGCAGCCGCGGUAAUACGGAGGGUGCAAGCGUUAAUCGGAAUUACUGGGCGUAAAGCGCACGCAGGCGGUUGGAUAAGUUANAUGUGAAAGCCCCGGGCUCAACCUGGGAAUUGCAUUUAAAACUGUCCAGCUAGAGUCUUGUAGAGGGGGGUAGAAUUCCAGGUGUAGCGGUGAAAUGCGUAGAGAUCUGGAGGAAUACCGGUGGCGAANGCGGCCCCCUGGACAAAGACUGACGCUCAGGUGCGAAAGCGUGGGGGGCAAACAG
rnacentral:rRNA from 1 species